rnacentral:rRNA from 1 species
AAAACUUUCAACAACGGAUCUCUUGGUUCUCGCAUCGAUGAAGAACGCAGCGAAAUGCGAUAAGUAAUAUGAAUUGCAGAUUUUCGUGAAUCAUCGAAUCUUUGAACGCACAUUGCGCCCUUUGGUAUUCCAAAGGGCAUGCCUGUUUGAGCGUCAUUUCUCCU